AUGCCAGGUUGUUGUGAAGGAAAGUGUUUAUUGCAGUUGUCGACAAAAAAAUGCACAGCCUUAAAGUUGAGUUUUAGGAAAGGCAGAGCAACCAGAGAUCAAAUUGCCAACAUCCGCUGGAUCAUGGAAAAAGCAAGAGAGUUCCAGGAAAACAUCUAUUUCUGCUUUAUUGACUAUGCCAAAGUCUUUGACUAUGUGGAUCACAAGAAACUGUGGAAAAUUCUGAAAGAGAUGGGAAUACCAGACCACCUGACCUGCCUCUUGAGAAACCUGUAUGAAAGUCAGGAAGCAACAGUUAGAACUGGACAUGGAACAACAGACUGGUUCCAAAUAGGAAAAGUGGUACGUCAAGGCUCUAUAUUGUCACCCUGCUUAUUUAACUUAUAUGCAGAGUAUAUCAUGAGAAACGCUGGACUGGAAGAAACACAAGGUGGAAUCAAGAUUUCUGGGAGACAUAUCAAUCACCUCAGAUAUGCAGAUGACACCACCCUUAUGGCAGAAAGUGAAGAGGAACUACAAAGCCUCUUGAUGAAAGUGAAAGAGAAGAGUGAAAAAGUUGGCCUAAAGCUCCACAUUCAGAAAACUAAGAUCAUGGCAUCUGGUCCCAUCACUUCAUGGGAAAUAGAUGGGGAAACAGUGGAAACAGUGUCAGACUUUAUUUUUGGGGGCUCCAGAACCACUGCAGAUGCUGACUGCAGCCAUGAAAUUAAAAGAUGCUUACUCCUUGGAAGAAAAGUUAUGACCAACCUAGAUAACAUUUUCAAAAGCAGAGACAUUACUUUGCCGACUAAGGUCCAUCUAGUCAAGGCUAUGGUUUUUCCUGUGGUCAUGUGUGGAUGUGAGAGUUGGACUGUGAAGAAGGCUGAGCGCCGAAGAAUUGAUGCUUUUGAACUGUGGUGUUGGAGAAGCCUCUUGAGAGUCCCUUGGACUGCAAGGAGAUCCAACCAGUCCAUUCUGAAGGAGAUCAGCCCUGGGAUUUCUUUGGAAGGAAUGAUGCUAAAGCUGAAACUCCAGUACUUUGGCCACCUCAUGCAAAGAGUUGACUCAUUGGAAAAAAACUCUGAUGCUGGGAGAGAUUGGGGGCAGGAGGAGAAGGGGAUGACAGAGGAUGAGAUGGCUGGAUGGCAUCACGGACUCGAUGGACGUGAGUCUGAGUGA
rnacentral:lncRNA from 1 species